UGGGUAGAUCUACCAACACAUCUUUCCAUUCAUCAUAAGGCAAGAAAAACCUCUCCAGAGUGCUGGGAAUAACCCAAAUGGCAUCAUUCACUGCCAUGACUCUUCCCUUGGACCUUCCAGCUGUGAGGAGCAGCUUUCCCCUCUGCAAAGCUGCCACUUUGCCUCCUCGCAUGCACCCUUCAUGAUUUUUUGGAGCUGGAAGCAUGUGGGAGAUAUCCACAAAAGGAACACUGAGAUCGUGGUUCUCAGUCAGAGACUGAGGUGCUCCAGAGGUGAAUUUACAAACAUUCUUCAGGUGCUGUGGCCAAGAGCAGCAGUGAUGGAGCAGAUGAACCAGUGCCUUUCUCACCCACCUGUGGAUGAGCUUUCCUUGCCCAUCCCAGAGGCGAGCAGGUGAAAUUCCCUGCAUUUAUCCCUGUCUGCACCACUGCCUGGGAAAGAUGUCUUGUAUUAAAAUAAAAAAACCAA